UCCGGUUUGUCACCGGCAGUCUCGCAUGAGUCCCCAACUGAAUGCUGGCAACAUGCGACGGGGGUUGCGCUCGUUGCGGGACUUAACCCAACAUCUCACGACACGAGCUGACGACAGCCAUGCAGCACCUGUGUAUCCUGGUAUUGCUACCUCGUCAGACUUUCAUCCUUCUACUAGAUACAUGUCAAGGCCAGGUAAGGUUCUUCGCGUUGCAUCGAAUUAAGCCA
rnacentral:misc_RNA from 1 species